rnacentral:rRNA from 1 species
AUCAACUUUCGAUGGUAGGAUAGAGGCCUACCAUGGUGGUAACGGGUAACGGGGUGUUAGGGCACGACACCGGAGAGGGAGCNUGAGAAACGGCUACCACAUCCAAGGAUGGCAGCAGGCGCGCAAAUUACCCAAUCCCGACACGGGGAGGUAGUGACAAUAAAUAACAAUACGGGGUUCUUUCGGAUUUCGUAAUUGGAAUGAGUACAAUUUAAAUCUCUUAACGAGGAACAAUUGGAGGGCAAGUCUGGUGCCAGCAGCCGCGGUAAUUCCAGCUCCAAUAGCGUAUAUUAAAGUUGCUGCAGUUAAAAAGCUCGUAGUUGAAUUUCGGGACCAAUAUGUCGGUCGUGCCUCGGUACGUACUGGCAUCGUUGGUUUCUCCCUUCUGACGAACCAUGAUGUCAUUUAUUUGGUGUCAUGGGGAAUCAGGACUGUUACUUUGAAAAAAUUAGAGUGUUUAAAGCAGGCUCACGCUUGAAUACAUUAGCAUGGAAUAAUGAAAUAGGACGUUUGAUUCUAUUUUGUUGGUUUCUAGGAUUGACGUAAUGAUUAAUAGGGAUAGUUGGGGGCAUUAGUAUUCAAUUGUCAGAGGUGAAAUUCUUGGAUUUAUUGAAGACUAACUACUGCGAAAGCAUUUGCCAAGGAUGUUUUCAUUAAUCAAGAACGAAAGUUAGGGGAUCGAAGACGAUCAGAUACCGUCGUAGUCUUAACCAUAAACUAUGCCGACUAGGGAUCGGAUGAUGUUAAUUUUUUAAUGACUCAUUCGGCGCCUUACGGGAAACCAAAGUGUUUGGGUUC